AGCAGCCGCGGUAAUUCCAGCUCCAAUAGCGUAUAUUAAAGUUGUUGCAGUUAAAAAGCUCGUAGUUGAAUUUCGGGGUUAGUAGAUUGGUCAUGCCUCUGGUAUGUACUGGUCUCACUGAUUCCUCCUUCCUGAUGAUCCGUAAUGCCAUUAAUUUGGUGUUGCGGGGAAUUUGGACUGUUACUUUGAAAAAAUUAGAGUGUUUAAAGCAAGCUAACGCUUGAAUACAUUAGCAUGGAAUAAUGAAAUAGGACGUUCGAUCCUAUUUUGUUGGUUUCUGGGAUUGACGUAAUGAUUAAUAGGGAUAGUUGGGGGCAUUAGUAUUCAAUUGUCAGAGGUGAAAUUCUUGGAUUUAUUGAAGACUAACUACUGCGAAAGCAUUUGCCAAGGAUGUUUUCAUUAAUCAAGAACGAAAGUUAGGGGAUCGAAGACGAUCAGAUACCGUCGUAGUCUUAACCAUAAACUAUGCCGACUAGGGAUCGGAUGAUGUUAAUUUUUUAAUGACUCA
rnacentral:rRNA from 1 species